rnacentral:tRNA from 3 species
GGGCCGCUAGCUCAGUUGGCAGAGCAGCUGACUCUUAAUCAGCGGGUCCGGGGUUCGAAUCCCCGGCGGCCCCCCA